GUUGUCAUUCUGGAAUGUGCAGGACGUGUUUCACCCUAUACCUCAGUGGUUUCACCUCGGAGACAGGUGAAAGCAUGGCUCGGCGAAAUCCACCUCAGAGUGGUUCCCCUUGUCCGAGUGGCCUACCUGGGGUCGGCCAGCCGGUCACUGGCUGCGAGUGACCUACCUGCAGGUCCAACAGACAACUAUCCACCAAGAAGUGCGAAGAUAAUUUCCAGCUACGUUCCGCCGAGAUCACCAACGGGGGGAUAAGGAGGUUUCUGGAACAACCAAGGGUCAUUGCCGUCAAGCAGGUGUUGCUCCAGUUCUAUCUUAUGUCUGAAAACACUGAUUGAACUCUCAAAGGCUCAGAUGAGCUAAUGCUCCUGCAAGCAGGGCUUGGAAGGAGAGUCAUAUCAAUGGCAGAAGAUGCAUGUUACAGCGAGAUUAAGGCUGAAACGUAACAAAAUGUGGGAAAAAAAUCAAGCCGUCUGAAUACUUCACGAAUGCACUGUAUAAGAGGAAUCAAAAGCAGCAAGACCAUGGCUAUGGACUAGUGAUGCGCGGGGUUGACUCAUAACCCACAGUUCCCGCCGUUAUAUCCGCUUGGGAGGCCGGUCUCGGAUCAUGAAAUAAAUAUAUAUAUAUAUUUGGGGGUUAUUGCAUUUUCUCCCUGGUCUCAACAUCUUUGCUGCAUGAGAGAAGCAGAGAUGAAAGAUUGAAGCAAUAGUUAUAUGGAUAUAGGACUUUCUGGUGAGCAAGGGUUUAUUCAGUAUUCUAGGGCAACAAGUAAUGGCAGAAGAAAAGCUGCAUGUAGGCCUCUCUCAUUAUAGACAAGUGGACUAACAAAUAUCCUACCAAAAUGUCAGAACAGUCUUAAUUCGUCAGGGGAUGGACUCUACAAAGGUGUCAAAAGCGUUCCAUAGGGAUGCUCGCCCAUGUUGAUUCCAACGCUUCCAGUUGUGUCAA